rnacentral:sRNA from 1 species
GUGUGGCUGGCGGUGGCGACAACCGAGGAGGAGGAGCGAGACGCCGUGGAGCACGGCGACCGGCUGAGCGUCAUGGAGGGCUCAGGGGAGCAGCCGGGCCCACAACCACAGCAUCCCGGAGACCACCGCAUCCGCGAUGGCGACUUCGUGGUGCUGAAACGUGAAGAUGUGUUUAAAGCAGUACAAGUCCAGCGGAGAAAAAAAGUAACUUUCGAAAAACAGUGGUUCUAUCUGGAUAACGUCAUUGGCCAUAGUUAUGGAACCACAUUUGAAGUGACCAGUGGAGGAAGUCUACAGCCCAAGAAGAAGAGAGAAGAGCCUACUGCAGAGACUAAAGAAGCGGGCACUGAUAAUCGAAAUAUAGUUGAUGAUGGGAAAUCUCAGAAACUUACUCAAGAUGACAUAAAAGCUUUGAAGGACAAGGGCAUUAAAGGAGAGGAAAUAGUUCAGCAGUUAAUUGAAAAUAGUACAACAUUCCGAGACAAGACAGAAUUUGCCCAAGAUAAAUAUAUUAAAAAGAAGAAAAAAAAAUAUGAAGCCAUCAUUACUGUUGUGAAGCCAUCCACCCGUAUUCUUUCAAUUAUGUAUUAUGCAAGAGAACCUGGAAAAAUUAACCACAUGAGAUACGAUACGCUAGCCCAGAUGUUGACAUUGGGAAAUAUCCGUGCUGGCAACAAAAUGAUUGUGAUGGAAACGUGUGCAGGCUUGGUGCUGGGUGCAAUGAUGGAACGAAUGGGAGGUUUUGGAUCCAUUAUUCAGCUAUACCCUGGAGGUGGACCUGUUCGGGCAGCAACAGCAUGUUUUGGAUUUCCCAAAUCUUUUCUCAGUGGUCUUUAUGAAUUCCCCCUCAACAAAGUGGACAGUCUUCUACGUGGAACAUUUUCUGCCGAGAUGUUAUCUUCAGAGCCAAAAGACAGUGCUUUGGUUGAAGAAAGUAAUGGCACACUGGAGGAAAAACAGGCUUCUGAACAAGAGAAUGAAGACAGCAUGGCAGAGGCCCCAGAGAGCAACCACCCAGAAGACCAGGAAACAAUGGAAACAAUUUCUCAAGAUCCAGAACAUAAGGGGCCUAAAGAGAGAGGAAGCAAAAAAGAUUAUAUUCAGGAAAAACAGAGGAAACAAGAAGAGCAGAGGAAAAGACAUUUAGAGGCUGCUGCUCUGCUGAGUGAAAGAAAUGCAGAUGGGUGCGUUGAUGGAAGAAGGCAGGAGACUCCUCGGUGCAUGUGGGCUCUGCUUCAGACAGAUUGGCAUUCUCUUUCUCCUUGUCUACUUUGAUUCUAGUGGGACCCGAGAUGAGGAUUUUGUCUUGCGGGUUUUUUAAAGAAAGGAGGCUGAGGCUGGCAGGGGUGGGGAAUUGAUGAUGCUGGUUUCAGGAUUUCAGAAGAAAUUGAAUCUUCUCCAUCACUGCAUCAAGAUGGGCCUUGUGGUCCCACUGGAUGCAGGGGAUGGGGCACUCAACUGCUGCGAUACAGGCUAUAACAGAUAUCCACAAAGCAGCUUGUGCAGUAUUGGAUUUGUUUCCGGGUGAUUUUUUUAAAAAAAUCAAGAAUGUCAUUAGAUGCCACUUAGAGUUGCCAAGUACCACAAGAGCUUCUAACCUAGUUCGCGUUUCCUAGAAAUAGCUCAUGAUUGUAUUCUGUUUUGGAUUUCUAGAAUGUUAUAUUUAAAUCUCUUCUCUGUGUGAGUCACGCAAAUUAAAUACAUGAUCAUUUUAAAUGCAUUUUAAAACCUGUGCUCCACUUUGGGGGAGUAGAGAAAUAAUUUGUCUGGCAUUUUCCUUACAGUUUAAUUGUAGCUAGUCGUUUCCACCCCACUCCCCUGCUGCUGUCUUUGCUGGAUUUUGUGGCCCCUUCAAGGCCGUUUGUGGUCUACUGUCAGUACAAAGAGGUAAUACUGGAAUGGAAUGGGCAGGAAUUCUUACAUCUGAAUGUUGAUUCUUCAACUGCAUCCCAGGAAGUAGUUCUUAACAGAAUUCUGUUUUUGCCUGCAGCCUCUGUUGGAAUGCUACACAAAACUGCGGGAGAGGGGAGGGGUCAUCAACCUCAGGCUGUCUGAAACCUGGCUCAGAAAUUAUCAGGUUUUGCCAGAUCGAAGUCAUCCUAAACUGCUGAUGAGUGGAGGUGGGGGUUACCUUCUCUCCGGCUUCACCGUUGCCGUGGACAACCUUAAAGCAGACAGCAGCCUCAAAUCUAAUGCAAGCACUUUAGAAUCACACGAGACUGAGGAGCCUGCAGCUAAAAAACGGAAAUGCCCAGAGUCUGACUCUUAACCCUUUGAGAAUUGCUCUGAAUUUUGUUCUCAGGCAUUACACAGUUAGUAAUUAAAUUUUAAAUGCCAUUACUACUUGUUUUUUCAUAUCCCAAGAAUAAGAACAUGUCUAUGUACCUGUUUCUAGGAAGGAGGAGUACAUGCCUUUUGUCUGUUUCUGACACAGAUGCGCUUGGUCUGUCAAAACUGCAACCAUGGGGUAUGUAGUAUGACCAACUGCAUUUAACAAAACUCCUCUAAGUACUUCUAAAUAUUCUGUGCAAAUAUCUUGAGAACUUCAACAUCCUAAAAUGUGUUUCUACAAGACUUUAUAUGUUAAGCUAAGUGGAAUAAUACAACGUAACUAAAACAUGGCGGGUACCGAAAGGAGGGUAAUUCAUGGAAGAAAUUUCCUCUGUUCAUUCCAUUCUCUUCAACCUAAGCAAUAUGGAUGUGUGAGUGUGUGAUUUAUUAUGGUACCAAAAAUGUCCACCCUCUUUCCUGCAGUGGAAUAAGCUUUUUUGAAAUGCUAAGGUUUUAUUUUAAUAGUUGACAACCUGGGAAAGUUCUGAGUAUUUAUUUUACUGCUCUUUUUUGUGCAUAGAAAGGUUUAGUAGGGUACUUUUUUGCAUUAAUUUGCCAAUACUCUUAUUCUUUGUUCUAAAUAAAGUGACUAGAAUUUUUGUGUACUAUUCAAUUAAAGGAAACAAAUGUCUUUUCCC